rnacentral:rRNA from 1 species
ACUCCUACGGGAGGCAGCAGUGGGGAAUAUUGGGCAAUGGACGAAAGUCUGACCCAGCAACGCCGCGUGGAGGAUGAAUGCCGUAAGGUUGUAAACUCCUUUUGAAGGGGACGAAUAUUCAAGUUCCGUAAGAAACUUGAACUGACUGUACCCUUAGAAGAAGCCCCGGCUUACUACGUGCCAGCAGCCGCGGUAAUACGUAGGGGGCAAGCGUUGUCCGGAUUUAUUGGGCGUAAAGAGCGUGUAGGCGGCCAAGCAGGUCAGCUGUGAAAACUCGAGGCUCAACCUCGAGAUGUCGGUUGAAACCGCAUGGCUAGAGUCCGGAAGAGGAGAGUGGAAUUCCCGGUGUAGCGGUGAAAUGCGCAGAUAUCGGGAAGAACACCCGUGGCGAAGGCGGCUCACUGGCCCGUUUCUGACGCUCAUGCACGACAGCGUGGGGAUCAAACAGGAUUAGAUACCCUGGUAGUC